rnacentral:rRNA from 1 species
GAUGAACGCUGGCGGCGUGCCUAAUACAUGCAAGUAGAACGCUGAAGGGGGAGCUUGCUCUUCUGGAUGAGUUGCGAACGGGUGAGUAACGCGUAGGUAACCUGCCUGGUAGCGGGGGAUAACUAUUGGAAACGAUAGCUAAUACCGCAUGACAACAGUUAUUGCAUGAUAACUGUUUAAAAGGGGCAACUGCUCCACUACCAGAUGGACCUGCGUUGUAUUAGCUAGUUGGUGAGGUAACGGCUCACCAAGGCGACGAUACAUAGCCGACCUGAGAGGGUGAUCGGCCACACUGGGACUGAGACACGGCCCAGACUCCUACGGGAGGCAGCAGUAGGGAAUCUUCGGCAAUGGACGGAAGUCUGACCGAGCAACGCCGCGUGAGUGAAGAAGGUUUUCGGAUCGUAAAGCUCUGUUGUAAGAGAAGAACGAGUGUGAGAGUGGAAAGUUCACACUGUGACGGUAUCUUACCAGAAAGGGACGGCUAACUACGUG